rnacentral:rRNA from 1 species
UGGGGAAUAUUGGACAAUGGACCAAGAGUCUGAUCCAGCAAUUCUGUGUGCACGAUGACGUUUUUCGGAAUGUAAAGUGCCUUCAGUUGGGAAGAAAAAAAUGACGGUACCAACAGAAGAAGUGACGGCUAAAUACGUGCCAGCAGCCGCGGUAAUACGUAUGUCACGAGCGUUAUCCGGAUUUAUUGGGCGUAAAGCGCGUCUAGGUGGUUAUGUAAGUCUGAUGUGAAAAUGCAGGGCUCAACUCUGUAUUGCGUUGGAAACUGUGUAACUAGAGUACUGGAGAGGUAAGCGGAACUACAAGUGUAGAGGUGAAAUUCGUAGAUAUUUGUAGGAAUGCCGAUGGGGAAGCCAGCUUACUGGACAGAUACUGACGCUGAAGCGCGAAAGCGUGGGUAGCAAACAGGAUUAGAUACCCUGGUAGUCCACGCCGUAAACGAUGAUUACUAGGUGUUGGGGGUCGAACCUCAGCGCCCAAGCAAACGCGAUAAGUAAUCCGCCUGGGGAGUACGUACGCAAGUAUG